CUCCCAGUCCAUAUUCAAGCCCAAAUUAAUGGUGUUAAAUUUGCAAAUGAUUUUUAGUUCUGCUGUUUCUCUUUGAAAUCUGUUUCUGAAGUUUUUUUUGUUCAAGUAUAGCUACUUUUAAGUUAUAGAAUAUCCAGGAAGAUCUAAGUGUUCUCCUUCUGGCUUUUGUAUGUUACCAUUCCUGAUGUCUGAUUUGUGUCCAUUUAUUCUUUUACAUAGGGACUUUGAGUAGGGGAUGUG